GCGCGCGGCCGCGUUUGAAUGGCCCUGAGUGGGACUCGGCCCAGAAGCCGAGGGACUCUCUAGGCUGCCGGGCGCUGGUCGUCAGCGCCGAGGCUGGGCUGAGGCGCCGCGGUACCAUGAGGCGCCGAAACUAUGGGAUGAUGGUGAGAAUUUCACAGCAGGAAAGAUUGGGAAGUUUAAGGAUCUGAACAGGAGUUAGGUACUUAAGAGAUUAUGGCAUCAGAAACCCACAAUGUUAAAAAACGGAACUUUUGUAAUAAGAUUGAGGAUCAUUUCAUUGAUCUUCCUAGAAAAAAGAUCUCUAAUUUCACUAAUAAGAACAUGAAGGAGGUUAAGAAAUCUCCAAAACAGUUGGCUGCUUACAUAAAUAGAACAGUUGGACAAACUGUGAAAAGCCCAGAUAAACUUCGUAAAGUGAUCUAUCGCAGAAAGAAAG
rnacentral:lncRNA from 1 species